rnacentral:lncRNA from 1 species
CCCCUUCAUCACGGGCCAUGCCUCCACCAUCCGCGGUGGCCCCUUCCGUCGCAUCCACAUAGGGAAUGUAUAACGCCCCUAACAGUCCCACAUCGAAUGGGAUAUUGAAUCCGAUCAGUUUAUAUGAGACCUCGCAUGCUAAUAAUAAUAAGUGGGCUUAAACAUUUUGGGUCGGUGGUUUAGGCCCGACAAGUUAUUAUUACUGGCGGGUCGGGUCGUUACAAUUUUUCUCUGUCAUGUCUCAACCCGAGGCGUAACAGACGCUGCAUACCUACUAAACUAGCAAAUAUGCAAGGCUACGGAAUCAUACAGAAACUAGCAAAUAAAUGAUUACCAAGUUUUCACUAAAUUCAAAUAAUCAAAAGAUUAGACUAAAAAAUUGAAUUUCAACUAUAAUUAAACUGAAUUCGAACAGCUAUAAAACUAAAACAUACUCCGAAAC